GAAGAGAAAGAAACCCUCAAAACCUUAUCCAAACCUACUCUCUCACUCACUCACAGCAAACAGUAGCAAAAAAAUGUCUGCUUCACUCCAAUUCUUCUCCCUAACCCCUCAAACCCUCCCCGCCCACCACUCUUCCUCCGCCGCCGCCGUCUCCGCCUCCUCCCUUCUAGCUCCGCACUCUCUUAAACCCCUGCCGAAGCUCGUCCUCUCGUUCAAUUCCAUCGGUAGCUACGCCGCCCACCCCGCUUCGAGAUUUGUGCGUAACGUCGCAUUUUCUUCUGAGGUAGACGAGGAGGUGGAUGAGGACGAAGAAGAUGAAGAUGAAGAUGAGGACUCCGAUUUCUCCGGCGCCGACGAGCAGAGUUACUCCGCCGACGUGAAGCUCUUUGUGGGGAAUUUGCCUUUCACUGUUGACAGUUCUGCCCUUGCUGGUUUGUUUGAACGAGCUGGAAAUGUCGAGAUGGUUGAGGUAAUCUUUCCUUCUACAUAGUUAUAUAUGGACAAACAGUCGGGACGAAGUAGGGGUUUCGCUUUCGUGACAAUGGGGUCAGUCAAGGAAGCAGAAGCUGCUGUUCAACAGUUCAAUGGAUACGAGCUUCAGGGCAGGCCUUUGAGGGUGAAUUCCGGUCCUCCACCUCCCAAAACCGAAAACUCAUUCAGAGACAACAAUUCAUCAUUCAGAGAUAACAACUCUUCGUACAGAGACAACAACUCUUCGUACAGAGACAACAACUCUUCAUACAGAGACAACAACUCGUCGUACAGAGGAGAUAGGUCUUCAUCCAGAGGGGAUGGUAAUUCAUUCCGAGGGGGCGAUAGGUCUUCAUCGCGUGGGGGUGACAGACCUUCGUUCCGUGGGGGUGAUGACUCUUCCUCGUACAGAGGGGAUAGGUCUUCUUCAUUCCGAGGGGGCGACGAUUCCUCUUCGUUCAGAGGAAACAGGGAUAGGUCAAGUUCCGACAGCAGUAACAGACUCUAUGUGGGUAACCUUGCAUGGGGAGUCGAUAAUCUUACCCUCGAAACCCUUUUCGGUGAGCAAGGAAGGGUUCAAGAAGCAUCCGUGGUUUACGACAGAGAGAGCGGUCGAUCGAGAGGUUUUGGUUUUGUGACUUACGGUUCGUCUAAAGACGUAGACAAUGCUAUUAGUGCAUUGGAUGGCCUUGAUGUUAAAGGCAGAACUAUUCGAGUUAGCCGUGCUGAAGCUCGUCCGAAGCGUGAAUUUUAAAAUGACUUGAACCAUUCAAGAAAUCUCUAAACUGGUUCAAUUUUUGGGGUAGCAGAGAUAAACAGAGUUGCAGCUAUAGCUAUAAUAGGGGCAUGUGAGCUCAAGCUUUGAAUAACAAAUGGAAAGAACUUGCAGUGAUAUGCAGCUGUGUUUUGAUUCGAUUUCGGCGGUCGGAGAAAACGGUGGAUAUUAUUAUUAUUAACGGUUAUAAUUUGUGUUCUGGAUAUGUUUAUUGAGAAGAUCAGCUUUUCUAGUCCCACCCGAUACAUCUUUUUGUAGGAUCAUAAUUUUGGAUUUUAAUUUUGCUUUUUGUGGUGUGAAAUGUUUUUGCAUUUUAUGAAAUGAAAAUCGCUGGUUUGCCGUUCUUGCUCGCUACUGAAGAGCGUUUUCGUUUU